rnacentral:rRNA from 1 species
AUACGUAGGGAGCGAGCGUUGUCCGGAAUUACUGGGUGUAAAGGGAGCGUAGGCGGGAGUGCAAGUCAGAUGUGAAAUACAUGGGCUCAACCCAUGGGCUGCAUUUGAAACUGCAUUUCUUGAGUGAAGUAGAGGUAAGCGGAAUUCCUGGUGUAGCGGUGAAAUGCGUAGAUAUCAGGAGGAACACCGGUGGCGAAGGCGGCUUACUGGGCUUUUAGUGGAGCUCAGGCUGGAAAGCGUGGGGACAAAAAAGGAUGGUGUCCCUGGUUAUCCCACGCCGUAACCGAGGAAUACUAGGUAUAGGGGGUAGCGACUCCCUCUGUGCCGCAGUUAACACAAUAAGUAUUCAGCCUGGGGAGUUCCGCCGCAAGGUUGAAACUUAAACGAAUUGACGGGG